rnacentral:lncRNA from 10 species
CUUCCUCCCAUCAGCCUUCCUAGAUGGCUGGAUCUUGUCCAUGUACUGCGAGAUAUUCCAGAAUGACUUGCUGGGAAAGAGAAACGGCUGCAUCUCACAGGCGGGAAUGUCCAGUGAUGUGGUGGUGUGGGCCUGUGUUAUAGCUCCCAUGAGAGGCUGCCAAAAAGACAGGCCUCAACUGUCAGAACAUGUAAUAAACAUAACCAGCCAGAGGACUGAGGGGAGGCAGAAGGCACACAGUUAACCACUGCAGCAGAAAGUAGCAGAAAUGAAGGGAGAAGGCAAUGUUCUAGAUAGAAACUGCUUUAUUGGCCUGGGUUUCUUGGAGCGAAGAAACAUUGAGGAGCAGAUCCCCCAGCUGAUUCAGCAGACGUGCAGCAGAAGCCGACGGAAACCUCUGCUGUUUUAAGGCCCCCAUACUCCCUGAGACACAACAACAUUGAUAUUAGACCAGUUAAUAACUCUACAAUGGCCUGUAAGUGUUCAAGUGAAAGGAAGAGUCGCAUAUCUCUCACUGUAAAUCAAAAACUAGAAAUGAUUAGGCUCAAUGAGGAAGCCACGUUGAAAGCUGAGAAAGGCUGAAAGUAGGCUUCUUGUGCCAAAUAGUUAGUCAAGUUGUGAAUGCAAAGAAAACAGGCUUGAAGGAAAUUUAAAGUGCUACUUCAGUGAACACAUGAAUAAUAAGAAAGUGAAUCAGCAUUAUUGCUAAUAGAAAGGAAGUUUCAGUGGUCUGGAUAGAAGAUCAAAUCAGCCAUAACAUUCCCUUAAGCCAAACCCUAAUCCAGAGCAAGGCUCUAACUUUCUUAAAUUCUGUGAAGGCUGAUAGAGAUGAGGAAGCUGCAGAAGGAAAGCUUGAAGCUAGCAGAGAUUGGUCCAUGGGGUUUAAGGAAAGAAACCGUUUCCAUAACGUAAAAGUGGAAGGUGAAGCAGCAAGUACUUAUGUAGAAGCUGCAGCAAGUUAUUCAGAAGAUUUAGCUAGGAACAUUGAUGAAGAUGGCUACAUUAAAUAACAGAUCUUCAAGGUAGAUGAAAUAGCCUUCUAUUGGAAGAAGAU